AAAUAAAUAAUUUAUUUAUAUUAAAUAUUUAAUUAAUUAUUUAAUUAUAUAUAUAUAUUAAAUAUUAAAUUUAUUAUAUAUUUA
rnacentral:tRNA from 1 species